GACGAACGCUGGCGGCGUGCUUAACACAUGCAAGUCACGGGGGCCCGCAAGGGCAACCGGCGAACGGGUGCGUAACACGUGAACAACCUGCCCUCGUGUGGGGGAUAGCCGGGCUAACGCCCGGGUAAUACCGCAUACGUUUCUCUGGAGGAGUCUCUGGGGAAGGAAAGCUCCGGCGCACGGGGAGGGGUUCGCGGCCUAUCAGCUAGUUGGCGGGGUAAUGGCCCACCAAGGCGACGACGGGUAGCUGGUCGAGAGGAUGGCCAGCCACAUUGGGACUGAGAGACGGCCCAGACUCCUACGGGAGGCAGCAGUGGGGAAUCUUGCGCAAUGGCCUAACGGCUGACGCAGCGACGCCGCGUGAGGGAUGACGCUCUUCGGAGUGUAAACCUCUUUUGCCUGAGACGAAUUGCCAGCUUUAGC
rnacentral:rRNA from 1 species